CGUGUGUGUGUGUGGAGGCGUGUGUGUGUGCGUGUGUGUGUGUGGAGGCGCGUGUGUGUGUGCGUGUGUGCGUGUGUGUGUGUGGAGGCGUGUGUGUGUGUGUGUCAGUAUGUACUGUGUGGUGUUCACUGAGCAGUACACUUUUCUACAAUUCUGUUUAAUUAUAUCUUGUCCUCCCAUCAUAUCUAAUCUACCAUGAGCUCCACAUCACUUCCUGUUUUUCUGAUGCCAUCAUCACAUGUCUUCCUGUCACAGAUUAUUAUCAUUUCCUGCUGGAUUUUGCAAGAUGAAGAAGCUGUGUCAGCUUCCAUGUUGUGUGUGAGUGUGUGAGUGAGUGUGUGUGUGUGUGUGUGUGUGUGAGUGUGUGUGUAUGUGUAUGUAUGUGUAUGUAUGUGUGUG